AAUAGAUACCCCGGUAGUCCACGCCCUAAACGAUGUCAACUAGCUGUUGGGGUCUUCGGACCUUGGUAGCGCAGCUAACGCGUGAAGUUGACCGCCUGGGGAGUACGGUCGCAAGAUUAAAACUCAAAGGAAUUGACGGGGACCCGCACAAGCGGUGGAUGAUGUGGAUUAAUUCGAUGCAACGCGAAAAACCUUACCUACCCUUGACAUGUCUGGAAUCCCGAAGAGAUUUGGGAGUGCUCGCAAGAGAACCGGAACACAGGUGCUGCAUGGCUGUCGUCAGCUCGUGUCGUGAGAUGUUGGGUUAAGUCCCGCAACGAGCGCAACCCUUGUCAUUAGUUGCUACGAAAGGGCACUCUAAUGAGACUGCCGGUGACAAACCGGAGGAAGGUGGGGAUGACGUCAAGUCCUCAUGGCCCUUAUGGGUAGGGCUUCACACGUCAUACAAUGGUCGGGACAGAGGGUCGCCAACCCGCGAGGGGAGCCAAUCCCAGAAACCCGAUCGUAGUCCGGAUCGCAGUCUGCAACUCGACUG
rnacentral:rRNA from 1 species